rnacentral:rRNA from 1 species
UACGAAGGGGCUAGCGUUGUUCGGAAUUACUGGGCGUAAAGGGCGCGUAGGCGGUGUGUCAAGUCAGGCGUGAAAGCCCCGGGCUCAACCUGGGAACCGCGCUUGAGACUGGCACGCUCGAGUUCGGGAGAGGAUGGUGGAAUUCCCAGUGUAGAGGUGAAAUUCGUAGAUAUUGGGAAGAACACCGAUGGCGAAGGCAGCCAUCUGGACCGACACUGACGCUGAGGCGCGAAAGCGUGGGGAGCAAACAGG